ensembl:lncRNA
GCGUGCUACAGCGAGGCUAAGCUAGUGGGGGAAAAGUUUCAGUGCAUUCCGUUGAUGUAGACGGCGUGAAAACGGAAACAAGUAUGCUGGCUCACUGUGCUGCAUACAAUUGCACACUGCGUCGUACGACUGAGACAAGGAAACUUGGAAGGACUUUUCAUAGGUUUCCCAGAGACUAUGGGUUGAGGAGGAAGUGGAAGUUUGUCGGCUUAGACCUGGUGUCAUUCCAUCAGUGUUAAACUUCCCGGCUCAUCUUGGAAGAGUACGUGCCAGAAAGACCACGACCAAGCAGCCUUGAGAUCUUAGGCAGCGUCUCCCUGAGGUUCCUCUCUAUCUCCCCACACAUCCACCAACCACUGGAACACAUCUGCAAAGUUCUGCCAGACCAGCUCAGCUUCCCCUCAGAAGAAGUGCAGCCACCUGCCAGAUGAAGGAGCCUUUUGAGAGGCAGCUGGCAUCGUGAUUGGACUGUACUUUGGUCUGUUCCAAUCCAGCUUCAGCUCCAGAGACGGCAGGCGGGACGAGUCAACGGAGGCCGGGUGGACGAAGGCAUGCAGCUGAGUACAAUCUAGAAAACAACAGAGGAGGAGUGCAGGGCCAGAACAAACAGAGUAGCAUCGUAUGUCUCUUAGAAAACAUCAUAGUAUAGCCUUUGGUAUGAAAAAACGCCAUCAUAUACAUCGUAUAUUGUACAAAUAACAAGUCAAAGGAAAGAGACAUACAUUGUAGAAUUGUAGUAAUUGUGGGCUGACUGAUUUACUGAUUAUCAGUAUUUUAUUUUUUACUGAUUUAUGGUAAUAAAUACAUUUAAAAAUGGCGCUGCUUUGGCUCUGAACCUUUAUCUACCUGUGGUCGCUCUGUCUUCUGGAGUGAUUUGAUUGGUUAUA